rnacentral:rRNA from 1 species
GGGCUGGAGCAGGUCCCAAGGGUAUGGCUGUUCGCCAUUUAAAGAGGUACGCGAGCUGGGUUCAGAACGUCGUGAGACAGUUUGGUCCUUAUCUUCUGUGGGCGCAGGAAAAUUGAGUGGAGCUGUCCUUAGUACGAGAGGACCGGGAUGGACAAACCUCUGGUGUUUCUGUUGUCGCGCCAGCGGCAUCGCAGAGUAGCUAUGUUUGGAAUGGAUAACCGCUGAAAGCAUCUAAGCGGGAAGCCAACCACAAGAUUAGUUUUCCCUAGGGCUUCGGCCCUCUAAAGACUCGUUCUAGACCAGGACGUUGAUAGGCAGCGGAUGUAAGUGAGGUAACUCAUUCAGUCGAGCUGUACUAAUUGGUCGUGAGGCUUCUUUAAU